rnacentral:rRNA from 2 species
GGAAAAGGAAGCGCUAUACAUGCAGUCGAACGACUCUGGUAUUGAUUGGUGCUUGCAUCAUGAUUUACAUUUGAGUGAGUGGCGAACUGGUGAGUAACACGUGGGAAACCUGCCCAGAAGCGGGGGAUAACACCUGGAAACAGAUGCUAAUACCGCAUAACAACUUGGACCGCAUGGUCCGAGCUUGAAAGAUGGCUUCGGCUAUCACUUUUGGAUGGUCCCGCGGCGUAUUAGCUAGAUGGUGGGGUAACGGCUCACCAUGGCAAUGAUACGUAGCCGACCUGAGAGGGUAAUCGGCCACAUUGGGACUGAGACACGGCCCAAACUCCUACGGGAGGCAGCAGUAGGGAAUCUUCCACAAUGGACGAAAGUCUGAUGGAGCAACGCCGCGUGAGUGAAGAAGGGUUUCGGCUCGUAAAACUCUGUUGUUAAAGAAGAACAUAUCUGAGAGUAACUGUUCAGGUAUUGACGGUAUUUAACCAGAAAGCCACGGCUAACUACGUGCCAGCAGCCGCGGUAAUACGUAGGUGGCAAGCGUUGUCCGGAUUUAUUGGGCGUAAAGCGAGCGCAGGCGGUUUUUUAAGUCUGAUGUGAAAGCCUUCGGCUCAACCGAAGAAGUGCAUCGGAAACUGGGAAACUUGAGUGCAGAAGAGGACAGUGGAACUCCAUGUGUAGCGGUGAAAUGCGUAGAUAUAUGGAAGAACACCAGUGGCGAAGGCGGCUGUCUGGUCUGUAACUGACGCUGAGGCUCGAAAGUAUGGGUAGCAAACAGGAUUAGAUACCCUGGUAGUCCAUACCGUAAACGAUGAAUGCUAAGUGUUGGAGGGUUUCCGCCCUUCAGUGCUGCAGCUAACGCAUUAAGCAUUCCGCCUGGGGAGUACGGCCGCAAGGCUGAAACUCCAAGGAAUUGACGGGGGCCCGCACAAGCGGGGGAACAGGGGGUUUAAUUCCAAGCUACCCGAAGAACUUAACAA